UUCCAGUAAGUUUUUAGCAUAGCAGGAAAUUCCUUAUGCUGGAUCCAAGCAUUGAAGAAUCUGAAUGGUGUCUUCCUUGUAGAUGUAUCUGUUGUCAGGUUUAGUAACAUGGGAUUGUGAUCAGAUAUAAGGGGAGGUCCAUAUACAGUGUGCACAUGGUUCCACUUCAUCUGCCAUUCAAAGUUACCAAGCACUCUAUCCAGUCUACUACAUACUCUAUCAUUACCACUUUGUUGAAUAGACCAGGUAAAAUAAUU
rnacentral:lncRNA from 1 species